rnacentral:rRNA from 1 species
UGCAAGCCCAGAAGAGCCGCAGUGAAUAGGCCCAAGCGACUGUUUAUCAAAAACACAGGUCUCUGCUAAACCGUAAGGUGAUGUAUAGGGGCUGACGCCUGCCCGGUGCUGGAAGGUUAAGAGGAGUAGUUAGCUUCUGCGAAGCUACGAAUCGAAGCCCCAGUAAACGGCGGCCGUAACUAUAACGGUCCUAAGGUAGCGAAAUU